GACAAGCUCCCUACACUGGGUCAAAUCUUGAGUACCCUGAAUGGCUAUUCUAUAAGUACUUGGGAGUGUAACAUGUGACAGCAGAUUAGGACCCACAGGGGUUUAGAAGUCAUUGUUUCACGAGAAAACGGAGGUUCAAAGUGAUUUGCACAAGAUGAUAAGGCUGGCUGGUGACCAACAGGGACCAUAACUCAUGACUCGGAGUCUGGGUCAGAGCACCCUUCUGCUCCUAUGGUGGCCCCAAAUCCUGGAUGGCUCUGAUUUCCAGAGGAGGCUCUGAUUGCCAGCUUUCUGCCCUUUCCACUGUCAGAGUACUUGGAUGUGACAGUUUCCCCACCCCAGUUUGGGACUUAGCAGGAAUUACGGUCACACUGCCUGUGUAUCCUGGGGCGUCCCCAUUGGCCAUCUGUCUCGGUGUAAGAGCUGACUCUUCCUUUUCCUUUCUGAGACCUUACUUGAGAUAGUUAAUAACCUUGGGCCUUGUAGAAAUUGCAAUCGCUCUUAAAAGAAGUGUAAAAUUGGUAUUAAUAUUUAAUUCCUACAAUUUGGAAGAACUUGAAACUGCAAUUAGAUGGCAGUGCCUGUCAGCUUCCAGCAGGCGGGCAUGCUCUUGUUAGAUCCCUCAGAGGCUGCAGAGGGCCGCCCAUCACCUUCGCAUGUGUUCCUUAACAAUGUGCUCACAGUCUCUCAAGAGGGAGCUCCAGAUGGUGAAGGAAACUCUGCAGGCCAUGAUCCUGCAGCUCCAGCCAGCAAAGGAGGCAGGAGAAAGAGAGGCUGCAGCUUCCUGUGUGACAGCUGGUGUCUGGGAAGCACAGGCCUGAGGCAUGACAGGAUAGGGGAAGGAGGAAAGAGCGCAGCUCCUGCCUCCGUUAGGAUCUAUGCACAUGAGACAAUUUUUGCCACUUCCUGAAGUCACACUGUCAUUUUCAGAAGGCAGCUGGUGCUUUGCUGGGGCUCCCGUGCUGUGCAGAGCUGCUGUCCUCAGUCAAGGAGAUGCCCUGGCUCACGCCAGCCAUUGGCCACGGUUCAGGGAACAGAGCAAAGCACAGUGUUUGAAUUUGCUCAUUGUCAAUUUGCUGGUUGUGUUCUCUACAGUUUUAUCUUCAGCAUUUUUGAAAAUAUAUGAUACAUAUUUUAAUAAGUAUAAUCGGUUUGUUCCAGGAAUUCUUGGUUUUUUGAUGAUGGACCAAAUUCCUGAAUUAUUUAUAACUAUAGCUAAAAAUUAUUAUGUACUCAUCACAUGGCACUUGAAAUCCUUGAAUCUUUAAAUUGAUUCCAGUAAAGCAAAACUUGGGAAGAGUCAGAACUGCCCGUAUUGUCCAUAAGGAAUCCGUAGUUUGACGUGCGUCAUUUUAAAAAGCCUCCCAGAUGGAAGGCAUGUUCACAGUCACUGCCCCAAGUGUUUUGUGUUACUCAGGCAUCAUCAUGAAUAAUUCUGUGAGGUCCUGAUGUAUUUGAAAAGCCUGGAAGCUGAUAACUGCUCUGAGUGGCCCCCCAAAUAAGGGUUCUCUGGGACCCUCAGUGGACAAUGUGUUCCUUUCCUUGUUGAGAGGCCUGACCAAGUUUAAGUACUGGGGCAGGUGAAUGAUGCUUUAACCAUGUGCUGCAACUCAUCUCUAGCCUUUGCUGGUGUCUGAGUCAGUCAGGAAGCUUGCUAAAGGCCAGGGGUCCUCCGCUGGCCACACAGCUGUCUCAGGACAAACCCCCUCUUUGGCCACUGUGACCACAGAAGACCCAGGACCAUUUACCUCAAACAAUAAUACAGGGCAGUUUUUGUGAGGGCAACAUAAAAAGAAAUUAAGGCUUGAGUUUAAAAGCAACAAGACAACAACAAUUACAGUUUAAACUUUUAUGGAGACAGUCAAGACCACAAGCCAAAGGGCAGAUUGAAAGUGGUGACUUCGAUGCUCAUCUGCCUGUGCCACAGUGUGAGAGAAUAAAUGAUACAUUACAUGGCCCCGCGUGCUGAGACGCUGACGUUGAAAUGGCUGCCGGUUUAUCUUUCAGCAGCCCGAGUUGGGGCACCUUCUCAGUCUGUAACAGCCUCAGUUCCUUCCAACUUCCUGAAAUUUCAAGAUCAAAAUGAUCCUUCCCCAAAUCAUAUGAAUAUAAGAAAGUUUUCUUCCUCUGCCAUCGGGGUGGUCUGCCCAUCCGGGGAACAUGUAAGGGCUCGUGUGUAUGUGCUGGGAUGUCCUAAGACCUUUAAAGUCAUUAUCACCGUUAAUUCUUAUAGCAACCUUAGGAUGUGGGUGUUUGUAGAUGGCCAAACUGAGCCUUAGGAAACUAAUUAACUUCCUCAAGGCACAGAGCUGGUAAGCAGUGAAGCAACAGUAGCACUUGGAGAUAGGUAGAACGCUCGUAACUGGUGUUCUUUCUAAAGUGCCUUUAAUGUCUUUUUGGGACUUUGAGCCAUGGAACUUACUAGUUCACUUAAGAACUCGUGGUCGCCUUGGGAGUCCUUCCUGGAGAGUCAGAGAAACUGAGCCUCGGGAAUCUUGACUUCCCACUGCCGGAGAUAUCAACCAAUCAGAAAACAAUAGAACUAAAGUGAGGAACAGGACAAAGCUGCCACCAAUAUCACUGAUAUGCUUUUAAAUGUACACCUGACACACACUUCCACGCUGUAGAGAGGAAGUUAUGACAGACACCAGAGUGAGGACAGUCCAGAAAAUAUCUUUGCCUCCCUCAUUACAAGAACACAAAAGAACUUCGUGACUCUGCCUCUCCCUUCCUCAAGAGUUUGAAAAAAGUCUGUUAGAAACGAGAUAAAGCUGCAAUGACAUCUCCAUACACAUAGCUUUUUCUUCCCUUUGACUUAUGUCCCCAGCAGAAAUUCCCAGGAGUGAGAAUACUAGGACAAAGGAGAAAGGAAAAGUGGCGGUUCCUGAUUACUGAGAGCUCCAGAGUGAACUCACAGGGGUUCUAAAGCACUUUCUUCCUUUACCCACACUGGAUGGGGGCAUUUAUCUCCACGUUCAGUGGGGGCUCCAGCUCUCAGCAGGACAACAGCAUCUGUAACAACCACACAGCUGGGGACACUGGGAACAGAGCCUUUACUCUGCUUUCGUAUAAGCCUUUAGUAAAUAAAAAGCCCAUGCCACAGUCUUUCUUCCCCGGGAUGGAAGCGUCUGAUGCUUUGUGUGGGCCCAGAGAGUUCCAUCCUUUACAAGCAGGACGAGUAAGAACUUCCUGACGGAGGAACAGGAGGAGAACUGGAGAUAAUACACACUGAACUUGAUAAUACACGCUGUGGGGAAGACGCUUGUGGAGGUAUGAAGAGGAUGUUUAAAAAAAUGAAAAUGACAAGAAAACAACGCACUCUCAGAAAAUACAGGAGAUGCUAAAAAAAUAAUCGCGAGGUCCGAGGGAGGCAAAUGACGUGUUGCAACCUAUGAAAAAUAAAAAGAAAAUGGAAAAGACCUUUGUGCAAUGGCCAGUACUACACAAUGCACAGAAAACAAUCUCUGAUUUAUUAC
rnacentral:lncRNA from 1 species